UACGAAGGGGGCUAGCGUUGUUCGGAUUUACUGGGCGUAAAGCGCACGUAGGCGGAUCGUUAAGUCGGGGGUGAAAUCCUGGAGCUCAACUCCAGAACUGCCUUCGAUACUGGCGAUCUUGAGUCCGGAAGAGGUGAGUGGAACUCCUAGUGUAGAGGUGGAAUUCGUAGAUAUUAGGAAGAACACCAGUGGCGAAGGCGGCUCACUGGUCCGGUACUGACGCUGAGGUGCGAAAAGCGUGGGGGAGCAAACAGGG
rnacentral:rRNA from 1 species